UAGGGAAUCUUCGGCAAUGGGGGCAACCCUGACCGAGCAACGCCGCGUGAGUGAAGAAGGUUUUCGGAUCGUAAAGCUCUGUUGUAAGAGAAGAACGUGUGUGAGAGUGGAAAGUUCACACAGUGACGGUAACUUACCAGAAAGGGACGGCUAACUACGUGCCAGCAGCCGCUGUAAUACGUAGGUCCCGAGCGUUGUCCGGAUUUAUUGGGCGUAAAGCGAGCGCAGGCGGUUUAAUAAGUCUGAAGUUAAAGGCAGUGGCUUAACCAUUGUUCGCUUUGGAAACUGUUAAACUUGAGUGCAGAAGGGGAGAGUGGAAUUCCAUGUGUAGCGGUGAAAUGCGUAGAUAUAUGGAGGAACACCGGUGGCGAAAGCGGCUCUCUGGUCUGUAACUGACGCUGAGGCUCGAAAGCGUGGGGAGCAAACAGG
rnacentral:rRNA from 1 species